AGAAGGGCCACAUCUGGUGACACCAGAAGAGACAGCUGAGCUGAGGCUGAGGCUGAGGCUCAGUCUCCACAAUAAACGAUGGAGCUUAUCUGAAAUUCAAAGCAGAGGAAACUGGAAAGGCAGUUUGCUCACUGGGCCAAAGGCUCCCAGCCAAUCACAACAAACAUGGAGCAGUGGCGGUCUGAAAGUGCAACUCUGGGUGUUAGAGAACAUGCUGUUCUCUGAAGUGGGAUUCUGAUUCCAGACAUUCUACAGCCUGACAUCCACUGGGAAAGUGAUGACACCAUUAAUUAUUUAAAGGUUUGAAAACCACAAGAACUACUGUAUAUAACUAG